rnacentral:rRNA from 1 species
AUUGAACGCUGGCGGCAGGCCUAACACAUGCAAGUCGAACGAGUGGCGGACGGGUGAGUAAUGUCUGGGAAACCGCCUGAUGGAGGGGGAUAACUACUGGAAACGGUAGCUAAUACCGCAUACCAUCAGAUGCGCCCAGAUGGGAUUAGCUUGUUGGUGGGGUAACGGCUCACCAUGGCGACGACCCCUAGGUGGUCGGAGAGGAGGACCGGCGACCCUGAAACGGAGGCACGGUCCAGACUCCUACGGGGGGCAGCAGUGGGGAAUAUUGCACGAUGGGCGCAAGCCUGAUGCAGCCAUGCCGCGUGUAUGAAGAAGGCCUUCGGGUUGUAAAGUACUUUCAGCGGGGAGGCGUUACCCGCAGAAGAAGCACCGGCUAACUCCGUGCCAGCAGCCGCGGUAAUAC